CAGCAGCCGCGGGAAUACGUAGGUGGCAAGCGUUGUCCGGAAUUAUUGGGCGUAAAGGGCUCGCAGGCGGUUUCUUAAGUCUGAUGUGAAAGCCCCCGGCUCAACCGGGGAGGGUCAUUGGAAACUGGAAACUUGAGUGCAGAAGAGGAGAGUGGAAUUCCACGUGUAGCGGUGAAAUGCGUAGAGAUGUGGAGGAACACCAGUGGCGAAGGCGACUCUCUGGUCUGUAACUGACGCUGAGGAGCGAAAGCGUGGGGAGCGAACAGGAUUAGAUACCCGGGUAGUCCCUGUCUCUUAUACA
rnacentral:rRNA from 1 species